UUACGGGAGGCAGCAGUGGGGAAUAUUGGACAAUGGGCGGAAGCCUGAUCCAGCAAUGCCGCGUGUGUGAAGAAGGCCUGAGGGUUGUAAAGCACUUUCAAUGGGAAGGAAAAAGCUUAGGUUAAUACCCUGAGCCUUGACAUUACCUAUAGAAGAAGCACCGGCUAACUCCGUGCCAGCAGCCGCGGUAAUACGGAGGGUGCAAGCGUUAAUCGGAAUUACUGGGCGUAAAGCGUGCGUAGGCGGUUGUUUAAGUCAGAUGUGAAAGCCCCGGGCUUAACCUGGGAACGGCAUUUGAUACUGGGCAACUAGAGUGUGGUAGAGGAGAGCGGAAUUUCCGGUGUAGCGGUGAAAUGCGUAGAUAUCGGAAGGAACACCAGUGGCGAAGGCGGCUCUCUGGACCAACACUGACGCUGAGGUACGAAAGCGUGGGUAGCAAACAGGAUUAGAUACCCUCGUAC
rnacentral:rRNA from 1 species